rnacentral:rRNA from 1 species
GACGAACGCUGGCGGCGUGCCUAAUACAUGCAAGUAGAACGCAGUUGCGUACGGUUGAGUAACGCUUAUGUAACUGCCUCAUAGCGGGGGAUAACUAUUGGAUACGAUAUCUAAUACCCCAUUCUUUGCGUUUUACCUCCUUUGUAUUAGCUAUUUGGUGAGGUAAAGGCUCACCAAGGCGACGUUAAAUAGCCGAGCUGAGAGGGGGAACGGCCAAACUGUGACUGUGACACGGCCAAGACGCCUACGGCAGGCAGCAGUAGGGAAACUUCGGAAAUGGACGGAAGUCUGACCGAGCAACGCCGCGGGAGUGAAGAAGGUUUUCGGAUCGUAAAGAGGUGUUGUUAGAGAAGCGGAAACUAAAGAGAAAGGGAGGGGUAACUACGUGCCAGCAGCAGCGGUAAGAG